GAUGAACGCUGGCGGCGUGCCUAAUACAUGCAAGUCGAGCGAAUGGAUUAAGAGCUUGCUCUUAUGAAGUUAGCGGCGGACGGGUGAGUAACACGUGGGUAACCUGCCCAUAAGACUGGGAUAACUCCGGGAAACCGGGGCUAAUACCGGAUAACAUUUUGAACCGCAUGGUUCGAAAUUGAAAGGCGGCUUCGGCUGUCACUUAUGGAUGGACCCGCGGCGCAUUAGCUAGUUGGUGAGGUAACGGCGCACCAAGGCAACGAUGGGUAACCGACCUGAGAGGGUGAGCGGCCACACUGGGACUUAGAAACGGCCCAGACUCCUACGGGAGGCAGCAGUAGGGAAUCUUCCGCAAUGGACGAAAGUCUGACGGAGCAACGCCGCGUGAGUGAUGAAGGCUUUCGGGUCGUAAAACUCUGUUGUUAGGGAAGAACAAGUGCUAGUUGAAUAAGCUGGCACCUUGACGGUACCUAACCAGAAAGCCACGGCUAACUACGUGCCAGCCGCCGCAGUAA
rnacentral:rRNA from 1 species